rnacentral:rRNA from 1 species
AUACGGAGGAUCCGAGCGUUAUCCGGAUUUAUUGGGUUUAAAGGGAGCGUAGGCGGACGCUUAAGUCAGUUGUGAAAGUUUGCGGCUCAACCGUAAAAUUGCAGUUGAUACUGGGUGUCUUGAGUACAGUAGAGGCAGGCGGAAUUCGUGGUGUAGCGGUGAAAUGCUUAGAUAUCACGAAGGACUCCGAUUGCGAAGGCAGCCUGCUGGACUGUAACUGACGCUGAUGCUCGAAAGUGUGGGUAUCAAACAGGAUUAGAUACCCUGGUAGUCCACACAGUAAACGAUGAAUACUCGCUGUUUGCGAUAUACAGUAAGCGGCCAAGCGAAAGCGUUAAGUAUUCCACCUGGGGAGUACGCCGGCAACGGUGAAACUCAAAUGAAUUGACGGGG